rnacentral:rRNA from 1 species
GUGUCAGCAGCCGCGGUAAGACGAACCGUGCGAACGUUAUUCGGAAUCAUUGGGCUUAAAGGGCGCGUAGGCGGCGGCGUAAGUUGGAAGUGAAAUCCCAUCGGCUCAACCGUGGAAUUGCUCCCAGUACUGCGUCGCUCGAGGGGGAUAGGGGUCUGCGGAACUACCGGUGGAGCGGUGAAAUGUGUUGAUAUCGGUGGGAACGCCAGUGGCGAAAGCGGCAGACUGGACCCUUCCUGACGCUGAUGCGCGAAAGCUAGGGGAGCAAACGGGAUUAGAAACCCCUGUAGUCC